CAUCGCUAGGAAAAAAUCAAGAUGGCUACCUGUCAAUGUACGUCGAAUAUCGUAAAUACAGGCUAUGUGCAGUGGAUCGCCAAUUGUGGAUGAAAAUAGUUAAAUUGGAUGUAUUGCUGUGGGACAGUAUUACGUCAUAACCUAAGAAAAAUAAUUUUCUUUAUUAAAUCCGAGAAUACAGAUGAAUUUCAGAUGUUUUCUUUAUCAAAUUAUUUUACCAAAUACUAAUCAGAUCAGCAUGCAGAUCUAUAUUUUAAAUUCCAAUCCAAGAAUGUUAUACUCAAAAAAAAGGGAGUCCAUUACACCAUUAGAUCAAUGGAUAUAUAUUUCAUUUUCUUACGGCUAACGAUUAGAAGAUUUGUAUUGAUUAUGUCAUCCGAACAAGAGUUUUAUUCUAUAAUAUGAUGUAAAUAAAAUGCAGCUGCAGUAACAAAAAAUAAUCAAGACAAGAAUCUGUCAAAAGGAUAGGUAAAUAAUUUGACUAGAAAUGCCUAAUCAUUAUUAUCAAGAUUGAUAAGAAGAAUUCAACAAUAGUNCAACUAACAUUAUUAUAUUAAACACUUAUAUGUCUAUUUUGCACCCCACAAUAAUACACAUGCACAUANACAAAAAAGGAUUUCUUGUAUAAACUGUUGUGCUGCGACUUAUCAUCGUCGACUGUAUCGACAUAUAAUUUUAUAUAAAUGAACGGGGUGAUUAAUUGGAUCAAAGAAAAUGUAAAAUCAGAAAGGAA
rnacentral:lncRNA from 1 species